CCACCUCCCCUGCAAACGUCCAGUGGUGCAGAGGUAAUGGACGUUGGCUCUGGUGGUGAUG
rnacentral:pre_miRNA from 2 species